rnacentral:rRNA from 1 species
UACGUAGGGGGCAAGCGUUGUCCGGAAUCACUGGGCGUAAAGCGCACGUAGGCGGAUUGCUAAGUCAGGGGUGAAAUCCUGGAGCUCAACUCCAGAACUGCCUUUGAUACUGGCGAUCUUGAGUCCGGGAGAGGUGAGUGGAACUGCGAGUGUAGAGGUGAAAUUCGUAGAUAUUCGCAAGAACACCAGUGGCGAAGGCGGCUCACUGGCCCGAUACUGACGCUGAGGUGCGAAAGCGUGGGGAGCAAACAGG